rnacentral:misc_RNA from 1 species
GAUGAAGAACGUAGCGAAAUGCAAUACGUAAUGUGAAUUGCAGAAUUCAGUGAAUCAUCGAGUCUUUGAACGCACAUUGCGCCCCCUGGUAUUCCGGGGGGCAUGCCUGUCCGAGCGUCAUUGCUGCCCUCAAGCACGGCUUGUGUGUUGGGCCUCCGUCCUCCUCCCGGGGGACGGGCCCGAAAGGCAGCGGCGGCACCGCGUCCGGUCCUCGAGCGUAUGGGGCUUCGUCACCCGCUCUUGUAGGCCCGGCCGGCGCUUGCCGACACAUCAAUCUUUUUUCCAGGUUGACCUCGGAUCAGGUAGGGAUACCCGCUGAACUUAAGCAUAUCAAUAAGCGGAGGA